ACUCCCUGAGGGGGCGGGGUGGGGGGGAAGAGAAGUGGGAGAAUAAACUCCCGCGUGGAUAAAAACCGACAGGGGAAAAAAAAAAAACCACAACAAAACAACCGACACAACAAAACAAACACCGGACGAGUGAAACGUUAACAAAGCACAAAUCACCGCAAACAGGAACAGAAUAAAACACACUGAUAGAAACGUGAUAAAUCCUCCCCGCCGAGCGUAGGGGGCGGCCGGUGUGAGGGGCCGGGGCGGUGCUGGAGGGCGAGCGCCGCCCGCCGGCGGUGGAGAACGGCGGGGGUGUGGAGCCGGGAUCUCCUUGUGGAGCCGGGAUCUCCUUGUGGAGCCGGGAUCUCCUUGUGGAGCCGGGAUCUCCCCUAAGGAGUCUGGAACAACCCGUAGAGCCGGGAUCUCCGUUGUGGAGCCAGGAUCUCUGAGGAGCCAGACUCUCCUCUGAGGAGCCGGGAUCUCCCCCGUGGAACCGGGAUCUCCCUGCAAAGCCGGGAUCUCCCUGUGGAGCAGCACUGAGGGGAUGAUAGUGGCGCAGGUGGCGUGCCACUGACGUUGAAUUUGUGCCAUUGAAUGUAACCAGACUCCAGGGUUGAAAACAAGGGGAAAGCAAUUAGACAGGUUUUACAGCCAGCUCUUGCAACCAGUGAAUCAACUGAAGAAGGCAGCAGUUGUUUGAGAUUUGUCAUCCCAUUGCCUACGUGUACAGUGCAGGAUCAAGAAAAGGGGACACACCUGUCUCCAGGAAGAGAGAGAGCAAGACCUGACAAGGCUUGUAAAAUUAAGUGAAUGGUGAGGAAGGAACACGGGAGAAGAAAGGAACUCUCACUUGAAAAAAAAAA